rnacentral:rRNA from 1 species
GAUGAACGCUGGCGGCGUGCUUAACACAUGCCAGUCGAACGGGAAACCUUUUAUUGAAGCUUCGGCAGAUUUAGCUGGUUUCUAGUGGCGGACGGGUGAGUAACGCGUGGGUAACCUGCCUUAUACAGGGGGAUAACAGUCAGAAAUGGCUGCUAAUACCGCAUAAGCGCACAGAGCUGCAUGGCUCAGUGUGAAAAACUCCGGUGGUAUAAGAUGGACCCGCGUUGGAUUAGCUGGUUGGUGGGGUAACGGCCCACCAAGGCGACGAUCCAUAGCCGGCCUGAGAGGGUGAACGGCCACAUUGGGACUGAGACACGGCCCAGACUCCUACGGGAGGCAGCAGUGGGGAAUAUUGCACAAUGGGGGAAACCCUGAUGCAGCGACGCCGCGUGAAGGAAGAAGUAUCUCGGGAUGUAAACUUCUACCAGCAGGGAAGAUAAUGACGGUACCUGACGAAGAAGCCCCGGCUAACUACGUG